CUUUGGCAGCGCUCUCUGUCCUGGAGAAAUCUGCACUCUGAAACUGCUGUUGAUACUCUGCCGGUUUACACUGCUGUCUUCAAGUGAAAGAAUGAGGAUUUGAUUUUGGCUGAUAUCUGAUGUUUAAGUGUCAAUCCACCAUCUAGGACAACGCCAAGAUUCCGAACAUAAUCAGUGGUUUGUAAUUCUGAAUCCCCAAAUUAUUACAGGGUCUCCAGCCUCAGGAUUGAUACAAGAUUACUCACUCAACCUGUGCUGGAAACUUUCAUGUUUUGUUACUGUGUUGGAAGAUGACUGUUACACAGUUUCUCAUUCAAGAUGUACUAAUAUUUCCAAGUCCACAGUUCUAUAGAUCACGAUGAACUGAACUUCCAGAAAACAGCAGCAAGACCUUGGCAGAAUAUUGAGCUUAAAUGGUUUGAAAACAAAAGCAUUAAAUCCAUGGAAUGGGCAC